GGACGAACGCUGGCGGCGUGCCUAAUACAUGCAAGUCGAACGCUUCUUUCCUCCCGAGUGCUUGCACUCAAUUGGAAAGAGGAGUGGCGGACGGGUGAGUAACACGUGGGUAACCUACCCAUCAGAGGGGGAUAACACUUGGAAACAGGUGCUAAUACCGCAUAACAGUUUAUGCCGCAUGGCAUAAGAGUGAAAGGCGCUUUCGGGUGUCGCUGAUGGAUGGACCCGCGGUGCAUUAGCUAGUUGGUGAGGUAACGGCUCACCAAGGCCACGAUGCAUAGCCGACCUGAGAGGGUGAUCGGCCACACUGGGACUGAGACACGGCCCAGACUCCUACGGGAGGCAGCAGUAGGGAAUCUUCGGCAAUGGACGAAAGUCUGACCGAGCAACGCCGCGUGAGUGAAGAAGGUUUUCGGAUCGUAAAACUCUGUUGUUAGAGAAGAACAAGGACGUUAGUAACUGAACGUCCCCUGACGGUAUCUAACCAGAAAGCCACGGCUAACUACGUG
rnacentral:rRNA from 2 species